rnacentral:rRNA from 1 species
CUACGGGCCGCACCAGUGAGGAAUAUUGCACAAUGGGGGGAACCCUGAUGCAGCAACGCCGCGUGGAGGAUGACGCAUUUCGGUGUGUAAACUCCUUUUAUAUGUCAAGAAAAUGACGGUAGCAUAUGAAUAAGCACCGGCUAACUCCGUGCCAGCAGCCGCGGUAAUACGGAGGGUGCAAGCGUUACUCGGAAUCACUGGGCGUAAAGGACGCGUAGGCGGGUUGGAAAGUCAGGUGUGAAAUCCUACAGCUUAACUGUAGAACUGCAAUUGAAACUUCUAAUCUAGGGUAUGGGAGGGGGAGAUGGAAUUAGGGGUGUAGGGGUAAAAUCCGUAGAUAUCACUAGGAAUACCUAAAGCGAAGGCGAUCUCCUGGAACAUUACUGACGCUAAGGCGUGAAAGCGUGGGGAGCAAACAGGAUUAGAUACCCUCGUAGUC